UACGGGGGGGGCAAGCGUUGUUCGGAAUUACUGGGCGUAAAGGGCUCGUAGGCGGCCAACUAAGUCGGACGUGAAAUCCCUCGGCUUAACCGGGGAACUGCGUCCGAUACUGGAUGGCUUGAGUAUGGGAGAGGGAUGCGGAAUUCCCGGUGUAGAGGUGAAAUUCGUAGAUAUCGGGAGGAACACCGGUGGCGAAGGCGGCGAUCUGGGUCGAUACUGACGCUGAGGUGCGAAAGCGUGGGGAGCAAACAGG
rnacentral:rRNA from 1 species